UAUACGCGUAUGGGAUAGGUGGUACGCGUAUGAGUUGGGCGAGGAAAUGCGCAAUACGCGUAUGAGAGUGGGCAUUACGCGUAUGGAUUGGCCAGGCGUGGGCAAUACGCGUAUGGACAUAGGCAAUACGCGUAUGGGCAGAAUUGUGAUUUUUCUGUGCUGUUGUUGUGCAGUUUUUGGUUGUUUAGGCGGAGUGAUGUACUUAGCUGAGGUAUGAUGUUGUAGGGAUCAUUUCCCGUUGUUUUGAGUA
rnacentral:lncRNA from 1 species